rfam:Pediculus humanus corporis strain TSDA 1103172094794, whole genome shotgun sequence.
CGACCUCAGAUCAGACGAGAUCACCCGCCGAAUUUAAGCAUAUUAGUAAGCGGAGGAAAAGAAACUAACCAGGAUUCCCCGAGUAGCGGCGAGCGAAAAGGGAAGAGCCCAGCGCCGAAUCCCACGUCCCGUCGGUCGGACGUCGGGAAAUGUGGCGUGAGGGAGCGCUUCGAAACUCACACAGAUUCGCGUCCGGAGCUCGCUCGCGAGUCCAAGUCCAUCUUGAAAGAGGCCACAGCCCGGAGAGGGUGCCAGGCCCGUAGAGGCGGCGGCGAGUUUCGGACGGGAAGCGUCUCCUCAGAGUCGGGUUGCUUGGUAGUGCAGCCCAAAGCAGGUGGUAUACUCCAUCUAAGGCUAAACACGGCCACGAGACCGAUAGCGAACAAGUACCGUGAGGGAAAGUUGAAAAGGACUUUGAAGAGAGAGUUCAACAGUACGUGAAACCGUUCGGGGGUAAGCGCGUGAAACUCGAAGAGUCGCACGCGGGAGAUUCAGUAUUCGCGGCGCCGGGACGGAGGAGCGCUCAAACGAGGCGCAGACGCGGACGCGGGCUCGCUCGAGUCCGACGUCGGCCGAGCGUUUUCCCCUGCAAGUGUCUCGUCCCGCCGCGGGUCCGCACUUCUCCCCGCGUUAAAAGACCGUCGCGACCGGCCGGCCACAGCCGGGAUCGAGGGCGUUCGCGGACAGACUCCGGGAAAGGUUGCGGCGUUCGAUCGUCGCGCGUGGCGCGGCGACGGUCGCGCUCCACGCGCUUCCAUCGGAGACGCGAACGAGGCCCGAUCCCGGGCCGGCCGUAUGAAACGGAAUCAGACGAUCGCUCGCGUCGGUCGCCCGCGAGGGCGCGAGCGCGUCCGUCGGCGGUUCCCGUCCGGGGAAUCCGCGCCUCGCUUCGUUCGCGCGGAGCGAGAGCGCGCGCGUUGUCCGGACGCGCGGCCGCCGUUCUCGGACCGAGAAUCCAGCGACGUCGGUCGAGCGGCGCAAAUGGUUUCGGGCAUUCACGCGACCCGUCUUGAAACACGGACCAAGGAGUCUAACAUGUGCGCGAGUCGUCGGGUUUCGUUUGAGAGACCCGCAGGCGAAGCGAAAGCGAAGGGGAGUCUCGUCCUCGAUCGGACUCGCGCUUUUUUGCGAAAGCGCGAGUUCGAGCUCCCCGCGAGACGAUGCCGUCCGUCGCUCGCGAGCCGGAAAUCGAAAAGGCGCGAGCGGCGAAAAAAGACAAGAACCAAGCAGACGAGAGCGACGAAUAGCCGGAAAGAGAAAAUUCGCCGGGCUCGCGAGAGCUCGGCGACCGGCCGGCCGCAGUCUCGGGGCGUCUCUGGCGUCUCGCGCGGAUUUUUCGUCGCGCGCGACCGAGGCGCACCGCGAGCGCACACGUUGGGACCCGAGAGAUGAUGAACUAUACCUGGUCAGGACGAAGUCAGGGGAAACCCUGAUGGAGGUCCGUCGAGAUUCUGACGUGCAAAUCGAUCUCUUGAACUGGGCAUAGGGGCGAAAGACUAAUCGAAUCAUCUGUUAGCUGGUUUCGCCGGAAGUUUCCCUCAGGAUAGCUGGCGCGUGGAAACAAGGUGUUUCAUCCGGUAAAGCGAAUGAUUAGCGGUCUUGGGAUCGAAAAGAUCUCAACCGAUUCUCAAACUUUAAAUGGGUGAGAACUCGGACUUGCACGAACGUUUUUGGCGAAGUUCGAGAAGCGCAAUCCGGCGGACGUCGAUCGCGAGACGAAACGCGCAACGAAACCGAUACGUGCCAAGUGGGCCAUUUUUGGUAAGCAGAACUGGCGCUGUGGGAUGAACCAAACGUCGAGUUAAGGCGUCCAAAUCGACGCUCACGAGAUACCAUGAAAGGCGUUGGCUUCUAUAGACAGCAGGACAGUGGCCAUGGAAGUCGGAAUCUGCUAAGGAGUGUGUAACAACUCACCUGCCGAAGGAGCUAGCCCUGAAAAUGGAUGACGCUAAGCGUCGUGCCUAUACUCGGCCGUCAGAAGGCAAAAGGGAAAAGUCGCGGGCGAACAUUCGAUCGCCCGCAACUCGUCGUCGCGUUCUCGUCCGGACGGUCGAGAGAUGUUCGGCGAACGCGUUCGCGCUCGAGUCUUUUCCCGUCAAGCCCUGACGAGUACGGCGUACGAGGCGGUGAGCGCAGAAGGGCCUCGCCGCGAGGCGACCUGGAGCCGCCGUCUGUGCAGAUCUUGGUGGUAGUAGCAAUGACUCGAUAGAGGACCUUGAGGACUGAUGUGGAGAAGGGCUUCGUGUGAACAGCAGUUGGACACGAGUCAGUCGAUCCUAAGCACUAGGGGAAACCCGAUGCCGAUGAGAGAGAUUGCGUUAUUGAAAAUUUCUCUCCACGUGCGAAAGGGAAUCCGGUUCACAUUCCGGAACCUGGCACCGGAACCGUACCAAUUUGUGGUCGGAUCCCGAUUCCCCUCGAUCGCGCCGCGAGACUCCGUUCUCGCGUCCGAGACCGAGUCAGGAACGGAAUUCGUCGGGGUAACCCAACAAAACCCGGA